GGGGGGAAAAAGUGAUUGCCACGUGAUGACAGCUCCAUUGAAGAGAUUUUUAAAAAUAAGCAGGACCCUGUGUAAUUCUUAAAGUAAAUCACAUAAAUAUCACUUCCCUGAAAUCAGAAGCAGUGAUUCAUAUACUAUAGAGUCAAUGCUAUAACGUAACGCCACCAAGACUCUAUGGCUACCACAAUUGCAUAUUCUGACAAUAAUGGGUGCAGGGAGAACAAUGUGUGCAUAGGAAUAUUAUCGUUGCAAGCAAAACAAAAGCAUCUUGGAACCGGAGGAGACC